ACCAACCCGAUGCAAACUCCGAAUACCUGUGAGUACUAUCCGGGAGACACACGGCGGGUGCUAACGUCCGUCGUGAAGAGGGAAACAACCCAGACCGCCAGCUAAGGUCCCUAAUAUCUGCUAAGUGGAAAACGAAGUGGGAAGGCUAAAACAGUCAGGAUGUUGGCUUAGAAGCAGCCAUCAUUUAAAGAAAGCGUAAUAGCUCACUGAUCGAGUCGUCCUGCGCGGAAGAUGUAACGGGGCUCAAACUGGUCACCGAAGCUGCGGCUGCAUACUUUGUAUGCGGGGUAGGGGAGCGUUCUGUAAGCCUGCGAAGGUGUGUUGAGAAGCAUGCUGGAGGUAUCAGAAGUGCGAAUGCUGACAUAAGUAACGACAAUGCGGGUGAAAAACCCGCACGCCGGAAGACCAAGGGUUCCUGCGCAACGCUAAUCGGCGCAGGGUGAGUCGGCCCCUAAGGCGAGACCGAAAGGUGUAGUCGAUGGGAAACGGGUUAAUAUUCCCGUACCUUGGAUAGCUGCGAUGGAGAGACGGAGAAGGCUAGGUGAGCCGGGCGACGGUUGUCCCGGUUUAAGCGAGUAGGGAGUGGACUUAGGCAAAUCCGGGUCCACAAUCUCGAGACGCGACGACGACUGCUCUUAGAGCGGGAAGUCAUUGAUGCCAUGCUUCCAGGAAAAUCUUCUAAGCUUCAGGCUAUUCGAGACCGUACCCCAAACCGACACAGG
rnacentral:rRNA from 14 species